UGGCCUUGGGGGGUGCUACACAUGCAGUCGAACGAUGAAGCCGGAGCUUGCUCUGGUGGAUUAGUGGCGAACGGGUGAGUAACACGUGAGCAACCUGCCCUGGACUCUGGGAUAAGCGCUGGAAACGGCGUCUAAUACUGGAUACGAGACGUGGCCGCAUGGUCAACGUUUGGAAAGAUUUUUCGGUCUGGGAUGGGCUCGCGGCCUAUCAGCUUGUUGGUGAGGUAAUGGCUCACCAAGGCGUCGACGGGUAGCCGGCCUGAGAGGGUGACCGGCCACACUGGGACUGAGACACGGCCCAGACUCCUACGGGAGGCAGCAGUGGGGAAUAUUGCACAAUGGGCGGAAGCCUGAUGCAGCAACGCCGCGUGAGGGAUGACGGCCUUCGGGUUGUAAACCUCUUUUAGCAGGGAAGAAGCGAAAGUGACGGUACCUGCAGAAAAAGCGCCGGCUAACUACGUGCCAGCAGCCGCGGUAAUACGUAGGGCGCAAGCGUUAUCCGGAAUUAUUGGGCGUAAAGAGCUCGUAGGCGGUUUGUCGCGUCUGCUGUGAAAUCCCGAGGCUCAACCUCGGGCCUGCAGUGGGUACGGGCAGACUAGAGUGCGGUAGGGGAGAUUGGAAUUCCUGGUGUAGCGGUGGAAUGCGCAGAUAUCAGGAGGAACACCGAUGGCGAAGGCAGAUCUCUGGGCCGUAACUGACGCUGAGGAGCGAAAGGGUGGGGAGCAAACAGGCUUAGAUACCCUGGUAGUCCACCCCGUAAACGUUGGGAACUAGUUGUGGGGUCCUUUCCACGGAUUCCGUGACGCAGCUAACGCAUUAAGUUCCCCGCCUGGGGAGUACGGCCGCAAGGCUAAAACUCAAAGGAAUUGACGGGGACCCGCACAAGCGGCGGAGCAUGCGGAUUAAUUCGAUGCAACGCGAAGAACCUUACCAAGGCUUGACAUACACGAGAACGGGCCAGAAUGGUCAACUCUUUGGACACUCGUGAACAGGUGGUGCA
rnacentral:rRNA from 1 species